UCGGGGGUCGUCCAAGUGGUAGGACACGGGACUUUGGAUCCCGGAAUAGAGGUUCGAAUCCUCUCCCCCGAG
rnacentral:tRNA from 1 species